CAAAUUAAUGCAGGAGUCUCCGUUCAGCUUCCUCACCUUGCAGUGGGUUUACAAAUUAGUAUGCGAUCCUCCCCCCUCAGCCUUCCAAGGAGCUAGGACUGCAGCCGCGCACCACCAGUACUGUCGGAAGCAGGUUCUCAGUACAUGCUAUUAGGUGCCGGAGACCCAGGUGGACCAGCAGACACAACUUCCCUCAGGGGAGCUUCAUUCUAGAGGGCCUGCAGAACAUGGCUCUGCAUCCGGGACUGAGGACCACAUUCACAGCAGGAGGGCCAAUUCUUCCCCCACGGGGAAGAUAAGCAGAGAGGGUACUCAGCUGCCUGGUGGCCCUCACCGCCUUGGAUGGGGGUGAGAUGGGGGUGAGGUGGGAGAGGCACAGAUUGAGGGAGGCCCAUUCCUGUGCAGAGGCCUCUCCAUGCCAAUGAGGAACCACAUUAGUACCUCCUUAGCUUCUCCUUCCCUGCUCUGAUCCUGAGAUCACCAAACUCUCCUCCUUCCACCUCCCACAGGCCAGGCUCUCAACAGGGGAAAGCACUUCGGCAUCUCGGCCCGCUCUCCCCUGAGCCUCUGCUGGGAAAAGUCUUCCCAAUCUGGCCUACUCUUGUCUCACUUUCUAAAUGGGAAACACCUAUCCCUGGCCAGG